UGACUGCACCCAGCUCUCACACAAUCACAAACACACACUGCUGACUGCCUCUAACACACACGCAUCUCACUGCACCCAGCCCUAACACCCACACACAUCCCCCACUGCCUGCACCCACCCCUAACACACACACACACAUUCACAAACACCCCCCCAUUUUCUGCCCCUAAUACACACCCUGCUGCACCCACCCCGAACAGCGUUACACACACACAUGCACACCCCUUGCUGCCUGCACCCACAGUGCAUCUAAGAGCCAUCGCACACCCCUAGCAGCUGUACAGCAUCGUGCAAGCCCUUGGCCACCUGGGGCUGGGAAACGCAGCAGGCUGCGCCACACUUGGGCAGUGCCAGAGGUGCAGGGGGCUUCCCCUUCAUUUCUGGUGCAGGGAACAGUGUGGGGGGACCAGGACUGGGAGAGAAGCAAGUGGCCGUGAUGCUGCUUUGAAUGAAGCUCCUCCAAAUCUUGUCCCUGUCUAGCUGAAUGCUGGGAGUCUCUUACAGGCAAUGGUGCCCAACUGCGAAAUUGCUGAGACUCGAGAUGGCAAAGUGAAAAGCAACUCGCCUGAUAAAAAUAUUCCAGCCGUUCAUUGGACCCCAUCUAUUGGUUUUUAAUAUUCGGUUUUCCCGUUCCUGACGCCAGUGUCCAUUGUAUUCAUGCAGCCAUGUAAGGACAGCCUGUGUGGAGGCACAGAUGGGAAAUGGCUCAGACAAACUAAGAGGGGACCACCAAGAGCGCUAUGUGACAUGUGGCAUGUCUCUCAGUGAAGAAAGGAAAGGCAUGCAACACACUGGUAUUUUGAAUGACGUGAACUGGUCUAUGCUAUUUAGAGAGCACCGUAGGUGUGUAUCACACUUAUAAACAUGUACAGAAGAGUAUUCAUGCCCUACAACCUGAGACAAAUAGUUCAAAGGGAAAAAGAAGAGGUUUUGUCCUCAGCCUGAAGCCUUCUUUAAAAACAUGGAUAUUAAGAUAGCAUAUGAAAGAGAGCAGGUGUACUCUAGCACAAAGCAGGGCAGCUGAUCUAAGCAGAGGGAUGACAUGGAAGAGAGAAACAGGUUGGCAGGGAGACUGAGUCAUACUAUAAAUUAGAGAAAUUCUUAUUACAGUGAUGCAAAACAGGACCAAUUCCAUCUAAGUUGGUGCAGUGUGGCCAGUGUAAAUGCUGUGGGAGACUUGACUCAAGCCCUGUUCUACAGUCUAUCGACCCAUCAGAGCCAAAAGCUAGCUUGUGAUAUACCUUUCUCUUCUUUAAAGGACAUGGAGUUAGGGAGGCCAGCACAAAGUGUAUCAGAACCCAAGUAAAUCUUUUUUCCUCUUACCUACAUUCAUUUUCCAUUUUCAGUUCACUGCCUUUAGGACCAUUAAGAUCCUCAGGACCAUGGAACCCACGCAGUGCCUGCUUCUCCAUCUAAGGGGCUUUUUGGCUCCCAUUAUCACAAUACAUAAUGUCCAGGUAUCAUUUUAGUUAACUGUAAAAGAAAAGCUCAGAGAGUUUGCCUUAUUCAUGCCAGGCAAAGAACAAAGAGACUGGGGAAUUUGAAGGACACAAAUUGGAUAUCUUGAUUUAAAGAGAGACUAAAACUAGGAAGAAAAUAUUUAUGACAAAAGGCUGGGGGGAGGGGAGCAGCAGAUUUGCUAUUCAGAUGGGAAGACAAGAGAAAAUGUUUUAGUGGGAUAGAUGGGUAUUUGAGAGAAGGGAUAAUCAUUCCAGGCUAUGACUCAGUUUUGUGAGAUAUUUACGUCGAGGUAAUAUCACUUUUUAUUCCUGGGUUUUACUGAAAUUACUGGAAGAUGAUUGAGUUGAUUAAUGGAGUGAUGUCCCAAUAAUAUUGUCCACACUGAUGACUUGUUCUCAUUCCUUUCCCACGUUCUCCCCAACUCCAUUUCAGAAUUAACUUCCGGAAUAAAUAUUUUUUUCACAUUUCUCUCCAAA